rnacentral:rRNA from 1 species
UCCCUUUUCAACAACGGAUCUCUUGGCUCUCCCAUCGAUUUAAAACGUAUCGAAGUGCGAUAAGCUAUGUGAAUUGCAAAAAUUCCGUGAAUCAUCGAAUUUUUUAACGCAAUUGCCCUCUCUUGCCCUCCAGAAAUUAUCCUGUUUGAGGCCAAUAAAAAAUCGGAAUUUCUUUUUUUAAAAUCCGGAGUGGGUUACUU